GACGAACGCUGGCGGCGUGCUUAACACAUGCAAGUCGAACGCUGAAGCUCAGCUUUUGUUGGGUGGAUGAGUGGCGAACGGGUGAGUAACACGUGAGUAACCUGCCUCCUUCUUUGGGAUAACGCCCGGAAACGGGUGCUAAUACUGGAUAUUCACUGGUCUUCGCAUGGGGGUUGGUGGAAAGGGUUUUUCUGGUGGGGGAUGGGCUCGCGGCCUAUCAGCUUGUUGGUGGGGUGAUGGCCUACCAAGGCUUUGACGGGUAGCCGGCCGGAGAGGGUGACCGGUCGCAUUGGGGCUGAGAUGCGGCCCAGACUCCGACGGGAGGCCGCAGGGGGGCAGAUGGCGCAAUGGGCGCAAGCCGGAUGCAGCGACGCCGCGGGAGGGAUGGGGGCCUUCGGGUGGUGAACCGCUUUCGCUCAUGGUCAAGCCGCAACAAUGGUUGUGGUGAGGGUAGUGGGUAAAGAAGCGCCGGCUAACUACGU
rnacentral:rRNA from 1 species